rnacentral:rRNA from 1 species
CACGGAGUUAGCCGGAGCUUAUUCUCCAGGUACUGUCAUUAUCAUCCCUGGUAAAAGAGCUUUACAACCCUAAGGCCUUCAUCACUCACGCGGCAUUGCUGGAUCAGGCUUUCGCCCAUUGUCCAAUAUUCCCCACUGCUGCCUCCCGUAGGACGUCUGGGCCGUGUCUCAGUCCCAGUGUGGCUGAUCAUCCUCUAAGACCAGCUAUGGAUCGUCGCCUUGGUAGGCCUUUACCCCACCAACUAGCUAAUCCAACGCGGGCCCAUCCAAAGGCGAUAAAUCUUUGGUCCGAAGACAUUAUUCGGUAUUAGCACCCUUUCGAGGAGUUAUUCCGAACCUAAGGGCAGGUUCCCACGCGUUACGCACCCGUGCGCCACUAGACGUCCAACCGAAGUCAGGGUCUCGUUCGACUUGCAUGUGUUAGGCAUGCCGCCAGCGUCGUUCUGAGCACGGAUCAAACUC